rnacentral:rRNA from 1 species
UAAGAAGUAUGGAUGUGUCUGAAAACAAUAAGUGUGUGGCGGUCUAUCACAUCUUUCUAGAGAAACAUGCUUUGUAAAUGAAACUGCCCAAACAAUCCCUCUUUGUCUAGAGAAUUAAAAGUCUCAUCCUGUACACUGCUAUCUAAAAGGUUGGAAAAUCAUCUAACUCUCAGAUCUGUUUUGGAAUCAAGGUAAGUAAGGUGCAGACAAUGAUAAAGGUAAGGUGUGUCUCAAUGCUAAAGAUAGAGCAAGGUUUGAAAUGCUUUGUGAAAGAGAAUUUAGUAGUAAAGGGUAGGAAACAAUACUAACUUGAAUGUGCUCUGAUAGACGUA